GGAAUUAGGGAGCUAUUUACUAAGCAGCUGCAAGAUGCAGCUGCGGCAUGAAUAGGAUCAGAGUUUCAUUCAUUCAAAUGAAAUUCCGAUAUGAACAGAAACUACCGAAUGCCAUUCUAACACGAAUGAACAAACUGUUCAUUCUGUUAGGACGGAAUUCGGUAGUUUCACCAGCGUCUUAUCUAUAUGACAGGACACUCGGGAAGAGUCAAAGGAAGCAUCACGAGAUCAGGUGAGAAUUGUGGGGAUUUCUUUGACCGUGAGAAGUGGGUCAAAGCUAGUCAUGCGUAUGAAACCUCCAUAAGACAAAGUAGUCUCUACGUUGUCUUAUGUUUUAAAGAAAACUAGAACAGACAGGAAGAAAUGAAGAACAGAUCCUGAAAGACGGAGAGAAGGGGAAUCGAUUGGGGAAAGGUAAGUUUGGCAUGACA